rnacentral:rRNA from 1 species
GACGAACGCUGGCGGCGUGCUUAACACAUGCAAGUCGACCGGAAAGGCCCUGCUUUUGUGGGGUGCUCGAGUGGCGAAAGGGGGAGUAAAACGUGAGUAACCUGCCCUUGACUUUGGGAUAACUUCUGGAAACUGGGGCUAAUACCGGAUAGAAGCUCCUGCUCCCUGGUGGGGGUUGGAAAGUUUCGGCGGUUGGGGCUGGACUCGAGGCUUAUCAGCUUGUUGGUGGGGUCGUGGCUUACCAAGGCUUUGACGGGUAGCCGGCCUGAGAGGGUGACCGGCCACAUUGGGACUGAGGUACGGCCCAGACUGCUACGGGAGGCAGCAGUGGGGAAUAUUGCACAAUGGGCGGAAGCCUGAUGCAGCAACGCCGCGUGCGGGAUGACGGCCUUCGGGUUGUAAACCGCUUUCGCCUGUGACGAAGCGUGAGUGACGGUAAUGGGUAAAGAAGCACCGGCUAACUACGUG